AUCAGAGCCAAUCCUGCACCCCAGCCUUCAACAUGAGCAGCUCCUGUUCUCUGUAGCUCCAGCACCAGCCUGUACCCAUUUCUCAGAGUCACAAUGCUAACACAGUCCCUGAGUCUUGAAUGACUAGAGGACUCACAGUGUCCACACGGGGCAGUUUCUGUUUGCAUGACGUUGAGUAAACCUCACAGCCAUCAGGGGCAGUUACCCUUUGGGAUUUCUGAUGAAGGUGAGGAGAGGAUGCUGUUCUGAGAGCUGCUGAUAAUAUGUGGAGCCAAACCCACAGGCUUGAGCUAUUUAAUUGAAAUUCACAUCAAAAUGGAAUUCUGGUUUAGCUCAACUUGACUACUAUGGAUGAUGAAAAUAAAUCCCUGGGUCACACAAGG